GGUAAUGGGAGUUAAGCCCCACCACAGCCAGUUUACACCAUUUUUUCCUGUUUGGACAGAAUUCAGCCCUAUGCAGACAGCCUACAUGAGGCUCAUGCACCAUUGAAGACCCAAAAGCAGCAAUACCAUAUUUAAUUCUGCACUGACUUCUGAGCCAUUGUGGUGUGUCAUGUCAACGUAUUCUGACUACUGAUCCCUACUAAUCUGCUGUUCAUCGACAUAUCUAUAUGUAUCUGGGGCUCAAGAGCUGUACCAGUGGGGUAAGAAGACUGGGGCCCAGGGCUUGAAUCUUAUUGGAUGAAUUGGAAGCGCUACUGUGUGCCAAGGGAAGGAUCAAACAGCCACAGGAUAUCACA